rnacentral:rRNA from 1 species
UACAGAGGGGGCAAGCGUUAUUCGGAAUUAUUGGGCGUAAAGGGCGCGUAGGCGGCCUGGCAAGUGGAAGGUGAAAUCCCUCGGCUUAACCGAGGAACUGCCCUCCAAACUGCUUGGCUUGAGUCCGGGAGAGGUGAGUGGAACUGCGAGUGUAGAGGUGAAAUUCGUAGAUAUUCGCAAGAACACCAGUGGCGAAGGCGGCUCACUGGCCCGGUACUGACGCUGAGGUGCGAAAGCGUGGGGAGCAAACAGG